rnacentral:RNase_P_RNA from 1 species
GCGCUCGGGUAAUCGCUGCAUCGUUUGAUGUAGAGGAAAGUCCAUGCUCGCACGGUCUGAGAUGAUCGUAGUGUUCGUGCCUGGCCAAAAAAUAAGCCAGGGUAGUCCGGUUUCGACUGGAUUAACGGCGAGGAAAAUACCUACGUCUUCGGAUAUGGUAUGACUACUCUGAAAAGUGCCACAGUGACGGAGUCCUGUUGGAAACAGCAGGAGUGGAACGAGGUAAACCCCGCGAGCGAGAAACCCAAACAAUGGUAGGGGAGCUUUCUCGAAGGAACUGAACGGAGAGAAGGGCAGAUGUUUGGACACAUCUGGAGAUAGAUGAUUACCGCCGGAGUACGAGGAUAAUAACCGUUUGCAGUACGAUGGAACAGAACAUGGCUUAUAGAG